rnacentral:rRNA from 1 species
AUUGAACGCUGGCGGCAGGCCUAACACAUGCAAGUCGAGCGGAUGAAGGGAGCUUGCUCCUGGAUUCAGCGGCGGACGGGUGAGUAAUGCCUAGGAAUCUGCCCGGUAGUGGGGGAUAACAUCCGGAAACGGGCGCUAAUACCGCAUACGUCCUGAGGGAGAAAGUGGGGGAUCUUCGGACCUCACGCUAUCAGAUGAGCCUAGGUCGGAUUAGCUAGUUGGUGGGGUAAAGGCCUACCAAGGCGACGAUCCGUAACUGGUCUGAGAGGAUGAUCAGUCACACUGGAACUGAGACACGGUCCAGACUCCUACGGGAGGCAGCAGUGGGGAAUAUUGGACAAUGGGCGAAAGCCUGAUCCAGCCAUGCCGCGUGUGUGAAGAAGGUCUUCGGAUUGUAAAGCACUUUAAGUUGGGAGGAAGGGCAGUAAGUUAAUACCUUGCUGUUUUGACGUUACCAACAGAAUAAGCACCGGCUAACUUCGUG